rnacentral:sRNA from 1 species
CUGUACUCUAAGGACAGUUUAUUCAGGUGCUUCCUACACAAGAAGUCACAUGACCACAGAGUGUCAUUUGUCAAAGGACCACGAAGUUGUUCAAAACUCUGCAUAGGAUCCAAUCUAUCACAUGGAUAUGCAAUAAUGAGCGGCCUGCAGACAGACGUCAUCCCCUGAAAAUGUCCUAAACAAGGUGCAGGCCAACGAGGAAGAGGAGAGGCUGAAUAGAGAACUGGAGCUAACUACCAAGGAGAGAAAUGAGCUGACAGAUCGCCACCUUUAUGUGACAGGUGGAUCCAUGAGAAAGAGGUAUGCAUUGCUCCAAACAAACGACCUUGUUCUAAACCUCAUCUCCCAUAGAUAGGAGAUUCAGAACAUGACCCUUACUGAGGAGUGAGAUUGAAAAUGGACUCUCUGAUUCUGCCUGUUGAAAAUCUGAACUUGCAAUCUGAGUGAAGAUUUCAGGGAUAAAGUCACUGGAGCAUGAGUUCCCAGUGUACAAUUGGAAAGCCCUUGACAGGUGGUAGUUUUGCAAGGUUCUGGGUGCUGUGAGUUUGUGGAGAGUGUUUGUGCUUGCUAGGAAGGUGACUGAACGCUAUCAUCUCCUGGCAGCAGCCUUAGGUGACAGGUCCCACAGUGUUCAUAUCAAUGCUUAAGUAGAAGGCCUGAGGCUCCGGCCUGCUCCUUCUUGUCUCUGUGCCUUACACUCUGAGACAGUAAUGGUGCAUGCAUUUCUACUGAUUCUCAUUGUGCUCUUUCCAUAUUUGUCUCUCUCAUU